rnacentral:tRNA from 1 species
GGUAGGAUACCGAAGUGGCCAAACGGGGCAGACUGUAAAUCUGCUAGCACUGCUUUCCUUGGUUCGAAUCCAAGUCCUACCACCA